GAUGAUGCAUAGCCCGAGUUGAGAGACUGAUCGGCCACAUUGGGGACUGAGACACGGCCCAAACUCCUACGGGAGGCAGCAGUAGGGAAUCUUCCACAAUGGACGCAAGUCUGAUGGAGCAAACGCCGCGUGAGUGAAGAAGGGUUUUCGGGACUCGUAAAGCUCUGUUGUUGGUGAAGAAGGAUAGAGGUAGUAACUGGCCCUUUAUUUGACGGUAAUCAACCAGAAAGUCACGGGCUAACUACGUGCCAGCAGCCGCGGUAAAU
rnacentral:rRNA from 1 species